GGUUGGCUCAGAAGCAGCCAUCCUUUAAAGAGUGCGUAACAGCUCACUAGUCGAAUGACUCUGCGCCGAUAAUUUACCGGGGCUAAGCAUACUACCGAAGCUAUGGAUCCCAAGGGAUGGUAGGGGAGCGUUCCAUGAACGGAGAAGUACGACCGAAAGGACGUGUGGAGAUCAUGGAAGAGAGAAUGCCGGUGUGAGUAGCGGAACGUGGGUGAGAAUCCCACGCACCGAAAACCCAAGGUUUCCAGAGGAAGGUUCGUCCGCUCUGGGUAAGUCGGGACCUAAGGCGAGGCCGAAAGGCGUAGUCGAUGGACAACAGGUAGAGAUUCCUGUACCCGUAUAUAUGUGAAGGAAUGACGGAGAGAGGAAGCUGCAGCCAGCGGCUGGAAGAGCUGGUGCAAGCGAGAUAUCGGGAUGGCAGGCAAAUCCACCAUCCGAAACGAGAAGGCGUGAAGCGUACGGAAAGCUACGGCGAGUACGGAAGGCAGUGGAGGAACUUCCAAGAAAAGUUUCUAACGUAAAGUAUAUAUGGCCCGUACCGAAAAUGGACACACAUGGGUGAGGAGAGAAUCCUAAGGUGAGCGAGAGAACUAUAGCUAAGGAACUCUGCAAAAUGACUCCGUAACUUAGGGAGAAGGAGUGCUCAUAGAGAUAUGAGCCGCAGUGAAACGGCCCAAGCGACUGUUUACCAAAAACACAGCUCUCUGCUAAGCCGCAAGGCGAAGUAUAGGGGGUGACGCCUGCCCGGUGCUGGAAGGUUAAGGGGAGGGGUUAACGCAAGUGAAGCCCUGAACUGAAGCCCCAGUAAACGGCGGCCGUAACUAUAACGGUCCUAAGGUAGCGAAAUUCCUUGUCAGGUAAGUUCUGACCCGCACGAAAGGCGUAACGAUUUGGGCGCUGUCUCAGCUGUAGACUCGGUGAAGUCUUAGUACCUGUGAAGAUGCAGGUUACCCGCGACUAGACGGAAAGACCCCAUGGAGCUUCACUGCAGGUUGAUAUUGGGAUUUGAUGCAGCAUGUACAGGAUAGGUAGGAGGCAAAGAGAUGGAUACGCCAGUAUUCAAGGAGCCGCUGUUGGGAUACUACCCCUGUUGUAUUGGAUUUCUAACCGGACGACGUAGAGCCGUUGACGGGACAGUGUCAGUCGGGCAGUUUGACUGGGGCGGUCGCCUCCCAAAGAGUAACGGAGGCGCCCAAAGAUACCCUCAGCUUGGAUGGAAACCAAGCGCAGAGUGCAAAGGCAAAAGGGUGUUUGACUGCGAGACCCACAAGUCGAGCAGGGACGAAAGUCGGGCUUAGUGAUCCGGCGGUGCUGAAUGGAAAGGCCGUCGCUCAACGGAUAAAAGCUACCCUGGGGAUAACAGGCUGAUCUCCCCCAAGAGUCCACAUCGACGGGGAGGUUUGGCACCUCGAUGUCGGCUCAUCGCAUCCUGGGGCUGAAGUAGGUCCCAAGGGUUGGGCUGUUCGCCCAUUAAAGCGGUACGCGAGCUGGGUUCAGAACGUCGUGAGACAGUUCGGUCCCUAUCUGUCGUGGGCGCAGGAAAUUUGAGAAGAGCUGUCCUCAGUACGAGAGGACCGGGAUGGACGCAUCAAUGGUGGACCAGUUGUCACGCCAGUGGCAUAGCUGGGUAGCUAAAUGCGGAAGGGAUAAACGCUGAAGGCAUCUAAGUGUGAAACCCACUUCAAGAUGAGAUUUCCCAUUGC
rnacentral:rRNA from 1 species